rnacentral:rRNA from 1 species
UACGAAGGGUGCAAGCGUUACUCGGAAUUACUGGGCGUAAAGGGCGCGUAGGCGGCUUGAUAAGCGUGCGGUGAAAGCCCGGGGCUCAACCCCGGGUCGGCCGUGCGAACUGUCGAGCUGGAGCACUGUAGAGGCAGGUGGAAUUCCGGGUGUAGCGGUGGAAUGCGUAGAGAUCCGGAAGAACACCGGUGGCGAAGGCGGCCUGCUGGGCAGUGGCUGACGCUGAGGCGCGACAGCGUGGGGAGCAAACAGG